UGAACCUUAGGGAGGAAGAAACAAAUGGCUCUCUCCUUGGGGAACUUUCUCACUCUUCUCCGGCACCGCUCCUGCCUUUCCAGAGAAUGGGGUCUGCUUGUUUGCAAAUCCAGAGUACCAACUGGGUCAACCGAUGGAUCUUUGUGGAACUCCUCUGAUAAGCCUACAGUGGUUCAAGCACCGUACAGGCAGACUGAAGACAGAAAGAAGUGUGAGUCACAGAGUCUCUUCCAAAUUUCAGACCUGUGGCAGCUUCCCAGAGGCUGGAGUAGACCAGAAGAGAAUGACUAAGGCAUGAUGUUCUGGGAGUUACAGUCCUGGCACGUAAUUGUGAAUAUGGCACAAAAUGAGGCGGUGGGUGUCCAGACUGCACCUAACAAUGGGAGCCUGAGAGCAAAUGGCUGGAAGGUCAGGAAGGCAGGAGACUGUCAGUAGCAAGAGCAGGUGGGUGCACAUUAUGUAGCCUCGAGCACCAGGCUGGGAUGAGAGAUGGGACUCCACCCCCUGUGGAGGGGCAAAGUAGAAGCCAAGCCUGGACUCAAAUCACCAAGAUUGGGGCCCAGAAACAAAGGAAGAAAGCUGAAAGUCAGUACCCAAAACAUGGGUAAAGCAGGGACCCUGGGCUCAACCUAGCAGGCAGGAACUCAGAGGGGCUGACGUCCAGGGCAGACCAGCAGCAGACCAUGUUGGGUCAUGGCCUAGGGGUUAGAGUGGCUUAAUAUGUUUUGCUGAAAGGACAGAUGGAUUUCUGUGCCAGGUUUUAAAGAGGAAGCCAGGUGUGGAGUCUGGGAGCCACGCUGGAUCUGACACUCAGGCAGUUUGUCAUCUAAUUGGAAGAACCAAAGUAUGAAUACAUAACAAAUGAGUCACCUGAGCUGUUGUUAACUGAACAUGGGGCAAUAUUUCAAGAGUACCUGAAAGCCCUAUAUUAUGCAUUGUCUGGCUUGGGCCAAGGAGGGCAUGUGACUCUAGGAUACAAAAGAGUCCUCUGCGUUGGAGUGGUUUCUGAAGGUUUCAUGGAAGGGCAAAGGGUUAAGCUGACCCUUGAAGAGUGGAUGAAUGGAUAACUGAAUUAAUUCAGUCACUCAUUCACUCAAAAAAAUACUUAGAAAUCCCUGCAGUGAGAUAGGUGCCAAGAAUAAAGAGGUGAACAAUAGGGACACUGACGUUGGCUGCAUAGAAAUUGCAGGCUCAUGUAGGUUUGAGAGAAGCAAACAAGCAAGCAGGGAAGAUGCAAUUUCAGCCGGGACUGGAGGAAGUACAUAAGGCCGGUGAGGCACACCUAGAGCCAGCUUCUAAGGAAGUGUUCUUUCUGCUAACCUGGGCUGCUGCCAGGCCCAGCACUAAUUGUGCAUACUUUCUACCUGCUUUAAGGCUUGAUCCUAAAGAAAACUAAAAAUGUUAUU
rnacentral:lncRNA from 1 species